AGCUAGAGUAUGAUAGAGGAAAGCAGAAUUUCUAGUGUAGAGGUGAAAUUCGUAGAUAUUAGAAAGAAUACCAAUUGCGAAGGCAGCUUUCUGGAUCAUUACUGACACUGAGGAACGAAAGCAUGGGUAGCGAAGAGGAUUAGAUACCCUCGUAGUCCAUGCCGUAAACGAUGUGUGUUAGACGUUGGAAAUUUAUUUUCAGUGUCGCAGCGAAAGCGAUAAACACACCGCCUGGGGAGUACGACCGCAAGGUUAAAACUCAAAUGAAUUGACGGGGACCCGCACAAGUAGUGGAGCAUGUGGUUUAAUUCGAAGAUACGCGCAGAACCUUACCAACACUUGACAUGUUCGUCGCGACUCUAAGAGAUUAGAGUUUUCGGUUCGGCCGGACGAAACACAGGUGCUGCAUGGCUGUCGUCAGCUCGUGUCGUGAGAUGUUGGGUUAAGUCCCGCAACGAGCGCAACCCUCACUUUUAGUUGCCAUCAUUAAGUUGGGCACUCUGAAAGAACUGCCAGUGAUAAGCUGGAGGAAGGUGGGGAUGACGUCAAGUCCUCAUGGCCCUUACGUGUUGGGCUACACACGUGCUACAAUGGUAUCUACAACAGGAAGCAAGACUGCGAGGUCAAGCAAAUCCCUAAAAGAUACCUCAGUUCGGAUUGCACUCUGCAACUCGAGUGCAUGAAGCUGGAAUUACUAGUAAUCGUGGAUCAGCGUGCCACGGUGAAUGCGUUCCCGGGUCUUGUACACACCGCCCGUCACACCAUGGGAGUUGGUUCUACCUUAAGGCAAGGUUUCAAACCCUUGACCACGGUAUAGUCAGCGACUGGGGUGAAGUCGUAACAAGGUAAC
rnacentral:rRNA from 1 species